rnacentral:rRNA from 1 species
GGACGAACGCUGGCGGCGUGCUUAACACAUGCAAGUCGAACGAUGAAGCCUAGCUUGCUAGGUGGAUUAGUGGCGAACGGGUGAGUAAUACGUGAGUAACCUACCUUUAACUCUGGGAUAAGCCUGGGAAACUGGGUCUAAUACCGGAUACGACCAAUCUCCGCAUGGGGUGUUGGUGGAAAGCGUUAUGUAGUGGUUAUAGAUGGGCUCACGGCCUAUCAGCUUGUUGGUGAGGUAACGGCUCACCAAGGCGACGACGGGUAGCCGGCCUGAGAGGGUGACCGGCCACACUGGGACUGAGACACGGCCCAGACUCCUACGGGAGGCAGCAGUGGGGAAUAUUGCACAAUGGGCGCAAGCCUGAUGCAGCGACGCCGCGUGAGGGAUGACGGCCUUCGGGUUGUAAACCUCUGUUAGCAGGGAAGAAGAGAAAUUGACGGUACCUGCAGAGAAAGCGCCGGCUAACUACGUG